rnacentral:lncRNA from 1 species
CGAUGGAGUGACACUGGAGUGAGAGUGCAGAUGGUUGUUAAAGAAUAACUAGCACUGAGCGUGACCAACACAAGAAGUCACAUGAAUGUCUACUCACUUGUUAGUGAUUUUCUCGAUGCUGCAGUGGUGUGAUUGAUCUUUUGAUCUGAGAUGGUACUACUACUCACAGUAAGGCUGCUAGAGUUUGAUUGAUACAUAAAUA